UCCCACAAUGAGAAAGUUGAGCAGUCCAGA
rnacentral:piRNA from 1 species